AUUGAACGCUGGCGGCAGGCCUAACACAUGCAAGUCGAGCGAGCGGCGGACGGGUGAGUAAUGUAUGGGGACUGCCCGAUAGAGGGGGAUAACUACUGGAAACGGUAGCUAAUACCGCAUACUAUCGGAUAACCCAUAUGGGAUUAGCUAGUAGGUGAGGUAAUGGCUCCCCUUGGCGACGAUCCCUCGCUGGUCUGAGAGGAUGAUCAGCCACACUGGGACGGAGAAACGGCCCAGACUCCGACGGAGGCAGCAGGGGGGAAUAUUGCACCAUGGGCGCAAGCCUGAUACAGCCGUGCCGCGUGUAUGAAGAAGUCCCUAGGGUUGUAAAGUACUUUCAGUCGGGAGGCGUUACCGACAGAAGAAGCACCGGCGAACUCCGUGCCAGCAGCCGCGGUAAUUC
rnacentral:rRNA from 1 species